GAUGAACGCUGGCGGCGUGCUUAACACAUGCAAGUCGAACGAUGAAGCCCAGCUUGCUGGGUGGAUUAGUGGCGAACGGGUGAGUAACACGUGAGUAACCUGCCCUUAACUCUGGGAUAAGCCUGGGAAACUGGGUCUAAUACCGGAUAGGAGCGUCCACCGCAUGGUGGGUGUUGGAAAGAUUUAUCGGUUUUGGAUGGACUCGCGGCCUAUCAGCUUGUUGGUGAGGUGAUGGCUCACCAAGGCGACGACGGGUAGCCGGCCUGAGAGGGUGACCGGCCACACUGGGACUGAGACACGGCCCAGACUCCUACGGGAGGCAGCAGUGGGGAAUAUUGCACAAUGGGCGCAAGCCUGAUGCAGCGACGCCGCGUGAGGGAUGACGGCCUUCGGGUUGUAAACCUCUUUCAGUAGGGAAGAAGCGAAAGUGACGGUACCUGCAGAAGAAGCACCGGCUAACUACG
rnacentral:rRNA from 1 species